AGGACGAACGCUGGCGGCGUGCUUAACACAUGCAAGUCGAGCGGAAAGGCCCUUCGGGGUACUCGAGCGGCGAACGGGUGAGUAACACGUGGGUAACCUGCCCGGAAGUGGGGAAUACCUCGGGGAAACUCGAGCUAAUACCGCAUGACAUCUUGGGACGAAAGUCCUGACGAUCAAAGCGGGGUCGCAAGAUCUCGCGCUACCGGAUGGGCCCGCGCCCGAUUAGCUAGUUGGUGAGGUAACGGCUCACCAAGGCUUCGAUU
rnacentral:rRNA from 1 species